rnacentral:rRNA from 1 species
CGCGUAGGCGGUCUUGUCGGUCAGAUGUGAAAGCCCGGGGCUCAACCCCGGACGUGCAUUUGAAACAGCAAGACUUGAGUACGGGAGAGGAAAGCGGAAUUCCUGGUGUAGAGGUGAAAUUCAUAGAUAUCAGGAGGAACACCGAUGGCGAAGGCAGCUUUCUGGACCGAUACUGACGCUGAGGCGCGAAAGCCAGGGUAGCGAACG